AUUGAACGCUGGCGGCAGGCUUAACACAUGCAAGUCGAGCGGGGGAAGGUAGCUUGCUACUGGACCUAGCGGCGGACGGGUGAGUAAUGCUUAGGAAUCUGCCUAUUAGUGGGGGACAACAUCUCGAAAGGGAUGCUAAUACCGCAUACGUCAUACGGGCGAAAGCAGGGGAUCUUCGGACCUUGCGCUAAUAGAUGAGCCUAAGUCGGAUUAGCUAGUUGGUGGGGUAAAGGCCUACCAAGGCGACGAUCUGUAGAGGGUCUGAGAGGAUGAUCCGCCACACUGGGACUGAGACACGGCCCAGACUCCUACGGGAGGCAGCAGUGGGGAAUAUUGGACAAUGGGGGGAACCCUGAUCCAGCCAUGCCGCGUGUGUGAAGAAGGCCUUAUGGUUGUAAAGCACUUUAAGCGAGGAGGAGGCUACUCUAGUUAAUACCUAGGGAUAGUGGACGUUACUCGCAGAAUAAGCACCGGCUAACUCUGUGCCAGCCGCCGCAGUAA
rnacentral:rRNA from 1 species